UGCCCCAUGGCUGAGUUGGUUACAGCGUCCGACUGUUAUAAACAAUGACAUCGGAAGGUCGAGAGUUCGAGCCUCUCUGGGGCAG